rnacentral:rRNA from 1 species
CAGCUAUAMUUUACUUGAUCUUGACACAAUCCUACUUGGAUAACUGUGGUAAUUCUAGAGCUAAUACAUGCAUUAAAGCUCUGACCUCACGGAAAGAGUGCAUUUAUUAGAACAAAACCAAGCGGCUUCGGCUGUUUCUGGUUGACUCAUAGUAACUGAGCUGAUCGCAUGGUCUUGCACCGGCGACGUGUCUUUCAAGUAUCUGCCGUAUCAACUUUCGAUGGUAGUGUAUCUGACUACCAUGGUGAUCACGCGUAACGGAGAAUAAGGGUUCGGCUCCGGAGAGUUCGCCUGAGAAAUCGCGAACACAUCUAAGGAAGGCAGCAGGCGCGAAAAUUACCCACUCUCAGCACGAGGAGGUAGUGACGAAAAAUAACGAGACCGUUCUCUUAUGAGGCCGGUCAUCGGAAUGGGUACAAUUUAAACCCUUUAACGAGUAUCUAUGAGAGGGCAAGUCUGGUGCCAGCAGCCGCGGUAAUUCCAGCUCUCAAAGUGCAUAGAAUUAUUGCUGCGGUUAAAAAGCUCGUAGUUGGAUCUGUGCCAUAGGACGUGGUCUACCUUCGGGUACGCACUACGCUCCUAGGCUUUUUGCUGGUUUUCCCGUCGUAGCCUUCACUGGUUGCGGCGGGUGGCUGGCGAGUUUACUUUGAGAAAAUCAGAGUGCUCAAUACAGGCGUAUCGCUUGAAUGAUUGUGCAUGGAAUAAUAGAAAAGGAUUUCGGUUCUCUUUUAUUGGUUUUGUGAACUGAGAUAAUGGUUAACAGGGACAAACGGGGGCAUUCGUAUCGCUGCGUGAGAGGUGAAAUUCUUGGACCGUAGCGAGACGCCCUACUGCGAAAGCAUUUGCCAAGAAUGUCUUCAUUAAUCAAGAACGAA